UUUCCUCUCUACUCUACUCUACUGAAACGGUCGGGUUCUUCUCUCCUUUAGCAAAUCCUUUACUGCACUCUGCUGUACGGUCUUGUUCCACAGUAUGAUGUUUAAUGAAUUGUUGGACAAAUCUCGUUACCAUCACCAGCAUGAGCUGGUCGCGACUGCCGCUUAUCGGAUGGGAUGAGAUGGGAGUAUGGCAUCGGUACAUGUAUAAGGCAAGGGAGUGCAGUACGAAAAAGAAGGAUUACGAAGGAGGAAAAAGGGGAAACGAAAAGAGCAAAAAGUAAAAUUAGACACAGCAAGAAUGCUUAGCUAGUCAAAUGGGUCAAAUAUGGAAAGAGAUGGAAAUUUUCUGAAUAACGAGGAAAGGGGUGAAAGAAUUUGUUUCGGUAUGUGAUAUAGAGAGAAGGAGAGAAGUGCAAGGAAAGCCAAAGAAAUGCAAGGAAAGUCAAGGAGAGUAAAACAAGGUGAAAGAAGAGAAAAAGAGUACUAUGGAUCAGUGAGAGUGAAAGAGGUUUAUUGAAAGGGAGCAAAGUGCGGUAUAUGGUGGAAGAAGGUAGAACGAGAGAGACAGAUGGGCAGAGUGGGAGCAGUAAAAGCUUUAAGGUUAUUUAGGGAUUGUUGUAGCGGGACAAGAGAGAAAGCAAAGGAGGAAAUGAAAAGCAACAGAUAAUAGGAAUAAAAAGGAUGAAUAGGAAUGAAAAAUAAAAUAAAAUUAAAGUAAAUAAAA